ACACUCUUUGUCCUUAUCUACCCAGCCACAGCUUCCAGUGCAAGUGUCCUUGUGCCCUGGUGCCUGAUAUCCAGCUCCGGCAGCCUAGAAAAUCAGUUAGGCUUUUCAGUCACAGCACCCUCUGUGACAAACGUGUGGAGCACCGCACGACUUCUUCAACCAGCUGGUUUUUCUGGCAUUCGAAUAAAAGUAAAAAUAGAAAACAAAGAGGGAGAAGAAAAGUGACAAGCUGAAACCUGCGAAGAGAAAGAGGACAAGAAAUGAACAAGUUGAUCUGGUCUUGAGGGAGGAGGAGGCACAGGAACACAGUAAAGGAACCUAUCUGAGGAGCUGCAGACAUGAACCAACAAAGCCAGAAGAGCCUGAAGCAAUACUGCAAGUGGGUGCUUUGGUACUGCUUUGAAGCAUCUUUCCAGACUCUGCAGUAGCCAAGGCCUGUGACUCCAGUCCCUGAGAAAGUACCAUCAGGAGCAAUACGUAAGCUUUUCAGGGACAAAGAACCUUGUCCUCUUAAUCUGGAUUCACAAUUCACAAUUAUACCCCUAGCCUGCCCAACGCCUUUUUCUCAGUCUCUGAGAAGUAUUGACUCUCUUUUACCUAAGAGCAGGAGUCU
rnacentral:lncRNA from 1 species